CUCCAAAGAGUCCAGGGACGGAAACGCGGCAGGUGGCGCCGUACCGUCUUCCACCGGAAGUGGCCGAUUGGAAUUAACCUCGUGGGAGAGGUGAGUCUGGCUUCCGAGCCCGGGUGUCCGGCCGUUUGUCCCCUGCAAACACCCAGUCCCCGCCAUGUUCCCUUCGGUGCCGCGGCAGCCCUGCGGCGCCCUGGCCCCGGAAUCCAGAGGCGUCCCGAGGCAAGGUGGAACUGGUUUCGGCGUCCGGAGGGCCUUCGCACCCGCCCCUUUGGAGAGGAGCGUGUGGUUUCCAUAGUUACCCGCCCUGCCUACGUCGCCGCGAGGGGUGUGGUGCGUCGUGGCGGGCUGUCCAGCCGGCGCGGUCUGGGGUGUCCGAGGCGAGGGGCGACCUGUUCUGGGUAGACCGAUGGGGCGGUGUCUGCCCCGGUCCGCCCCCGGCGCCCACUUCUCCUGGGAGGAGUCGCCGCCCUUUCGUAGGAACUUGCGCCGUAGUGACCCCAUCAGACCCGGUGGGUUCGUGGUCCUCCACCUGAUGGCCCCCACAGGCCGCUCCGGCCCCUCCCCUUUUGCCUUUCUGCAUCUUUCUCACCCUUUAGCGUCCAGUUUAAGCUCCCCCAGCUGCAGGAAAUAUCUGCUAUGACGAGUACGCCGACACACGCAUUCCUCUCCACCUCACACCCGUUAGGAUAUGCAGCAGCUCCACCGUGCGGCGUGUUUAGUCUCUCAGCUUUCAGCGUUUAGCAAGCAUUUCCAGUGUGUGGCGUGGAGUGUCUUGCUCUUUAAAUGUUUUAUAUCCAUGAGUGUUUUAUGUCAUUUCUUUCCAAAAUCUUUGUAAGUUUCUUUCAAACUUAAAUGCUAUUUUUCUAAUUCCUUAUACCCGUACAUCAGAAUACAAGUUUUCCAGGCGCACCCCAUGACAAUCCCGUCGACAUCUCCGGAGCAGGGCCGGCAACCUGCUUCUGACAAAGUUCCCACGUGAGGAUUAGCUCUAACUAAACCCAGACGUCCUCGGGAGCCCCUGCAGCACCUGUCCCAGCCCAGUGCUUGGCUUGUGUUAAAAUUGUUAAUAAAGUGCGUGUCAGUGCAACAGUCAGUGGCCAACUUGAUGGAAUGUUUCGUAGACAGACCUAAAGGAUUGAUGUUUGCAUUUCCCUGUUGUACUCCAGGCUUCUUUAAAUUCCUGUCAUUCCGUUUUUCAGUUCAGAAACCAGACAGACCAUUCGCACAUGCCCACAAGUCUGAGGGAACUGACAUUUAAUAACUAGACUCACACAACACAUGCGAAUUCGAUGUUGCUGGUUUAUGAUAUUUUGUUUCAUUGGUGAGAUGAGUGGCCCCAGUGUCCAAGACCUGCACUGAGCAGUGAAACUGGGAAGGCAGAGAAGGGCCUGUUGGCACAAAAGUAUCUGAAGUCAUGCUGCCUGAAGCUUUUACUGGUUCCUGAAAGACAAAGUCUGAAACAGGCUGUGACAUCUGAGGCUUUCAGGGCAGGGCCUCUGUGAUCUCCUUGUACAAACCUGCUCAUCCGUUGCUUUCCCACUUUUGUCCCUACCAUUAACAGUUGUUUCUGUCCUUCAUUGCUUGUAAUUUCCUGUGUCUCCCACUUCCUACUCAAGCCCCAUCCGUUCUUCAGUCAGUUUUUAAGUAGCUUCCCCUGACCAAUGCACCCUCUUGUGCCCUUUCUGUCUCCAACCCCAUGUAGCACUUUGGUCAUUUUCCUCUGGUCCUUAUUUUCUGUGCAACUUAGAAAUGAUUUAACCGCAUGUGGCAUGUUGACAUUUAAUAUCGCCUUGUAUUUAUAUUUAACAUUUCUUGUUUAAGUUAUCUUGGGGAUUUUUUUUUAGUUUUUAUAACUGUAUUUGAGCCAAACUUAUGAUAUAGGCUGGGAGUAAGAUCUCAAAUGCUCCCUAAGUUAUCUUGUUUUUCAUUUUAAAUUUUAAGGUGCUUUGAGGUAGAAAUUAUGUAACAGUUGCACUCACAAAGCAGGUAUUUAGGUGCUUUUUUACACGUAGUAAAUGCCCAGUGCAUUGUUGUGCAAUAGAAAAUGACUGUUUCCAUAAUGUGAUCUUUCAUCUUCCUAGACAGUAAUAAUAAGUUUUUUUACCCCCCCCCCCCCAGGAGAGUACUUGAAACUAAAUAAGACCUUCAUAAAGCAGAAGUGGGUUUUCUGAUUCUAUCGUGAGACGAGGACAGAAUCAAAGAAAGCUGCUGCCCAGAGCCAUAAGGAGGUUGAAGGGCCUCUGAGCAUGAAGGGGGAGGAGGAAGAUUUUGUCUGGAGCGACGAUGCCAGCUUGCAGAGAAGUGAUUAAGGAGCUGUGCCGACAGCUCUCCAGGCAGUUCAGCUACUGGGACGCACCUGGGCCCCGCCACACACUGCGUAGGCUCUGCGAGCUCUGUCGGCUGUGGCUGCAGCCCAAGAUGCACAGCAAGGAGCAGAUGCUGGAGCUGCUGGUGCUCUAGCAGUUCCUGCGCAUCCUGCCCUCGGGGCUGUGUGCCUGGGUGCAGGAGCUGCGCCCACAGAGCAGUGAGGAAGCCGUGACUGUGCUGGAGGACACGGAGAGAGGCAGCGGGGAAGUGGCGCUCCAGGUGCGGAGGGGACGGCAAGCUAAGUCCUCCACAGUGGAUGGCACUGGCGAAGGGAGACUUGGAGAGGCUCAUAGUUCAGGGUGCAUUUAUGUCUCCUUUGCUCUCUGGUUUGUGCUAUACCACACCUUACAACUGAGUCAGACUCAGUUAUCCUUUCUCGGGUUUGUGUUUCCACAAGAGGCUCUCUUUGGGGGAGAUGUUUCAUUCCAACAGGGACUCACUCCUAGCCCAGGUAUACUUUAUUUUCCUCAGGUUCUAGCCCUGAAUGUGGGCAAGAAAUAUUCAGAAGAAAGGUGGUGCCUCCUGAACCAGCGCUUACUGUCCAGAUCCAGCCAGUGGAGACCAGGGACCCGCGUGGUUCUUCAGAGCCCUGUCUUGGGUUGGCCUGCGGUAGAAUGUGUGUCUGUCAAGGGCAACUAGUCAGUUUUACAGCGUUUCCAGUGAAUAUUCCGGAUGGGCAAACAUAGCAUUCCAGUUAUGAUGGGAUCAGAAUUGAAAAAGAACAAUUGAUUCAAAAGCAGCAUCUUAUGUAGAUGUGGAAUCCCAAGAAAAGUUAUGUGGCUGAACCAGCAGAGAGGUUCCUGGAUGUGGGGACACCCUAGGCCUCAAAGGGUAGACAGAAAGACAUCAGAGAAACACUUCGAGGGAGAGAAGAUCUAAGUGUGAUGAAUGUGGGAAAAGACUUGCUCAGAACUCAAGCCUCACUGGACCUGAGAAUUCACCCUGGAGAGACCCUGUUCCUGCAGCCUCUGUGGCAAAACUUCCAUUGGGAGCCCACCUCGCUGGCAUCCGGGACCUGCCCUGGAGGGAAGCCGUUCUGGGGCAAGUAUGGCGGAGCUUUUCCUCACAGCUCAGCCUCAGUCGGCAUCAGGUGACCUGCACCAGGACAGGCCACAUGGAGCAACCACUACGGAAAAUGCUUUGGCCUGAACUGAGGCCUCCUCCACCCUCGGAGGACCCGCAGCGUGAGGGGCCCCAUCGGUGUGCUGAUGGCGGGUUGGCCUCCAGUCACUGCGCACAUCACACAUCUGGGAACCGAAGAGUCCUUGUGGGGGAGGGGCCCUGGUGACGUGGGCAGAGCUGCUCCUGGCACUGGUUCCUGGGGACACCAAGUCGCAGGCUACAGACCUGAUGGUAACAGCUCUGAGCCCCCUGCUAUGUACCCCAGAGUCAUGUAAACACAGCUUCCAGGCAUGUGACCUGCUGGACUGGCUGGUGGUCAUUUUGUGAAAUUGCUCAGAAGUAAGUAGCUCACGUAAUUGAAGUGUUUACCUUCCUCUUCUCCGUCCCUUUCCCCCUUCCUACUUUUCUUGCAGUUGGAGGAGUAAUCUCCAAAAUGUGAAUUUAGAGUUAAUAUAUAAACUA